ensembl:lncRNA
CUCAAACUCAAGUGUUUCACAGCUCCUUUUUAGCUGCAUGGAAAGUUUUUACUCAUAUUCUUUCUUACUUAUUUAUUGCACCCAUUACAUGGAAAGAAAAAGACAGAGUGCGUCAUGAUUUACUAGACCCCCGCAUUCUCUCUCUUCAUACACUUCCAUCCACUCAGAGAGAGAGAUAAUGAAAAGAACUUGUUUUGAUCACAUCUGGUGAAGGACUGUGACUGGAGUGUUAAUAUGCACACAGGUGUAUCCCCUGUGUAGGGUCAUAUAGAAGCAAGCUGGAUUGGAACAUAAUACCAGAAAAAGAGCUUGUGCCACUGGAUGUGGACAGGUCAAAUCUGCUUCAAAUGCUUGAAAGAAGUUGAUUAUUUGAUCCUGAUGAGCAGAAAAACAGAAAGAAGACAACAUCUGCUGUCAAGAACUGACAAACGCAGCUGCCUACGGUUUUCCAGACGUUGGAACUUUCAGUGGGUGUCUGUGGUCAGAGCAGAUCAAAGCAGAUAUUUUUUCACGAUGAACACCAGAGGUGUGAUUGGUGUAGACACAAACAGCCAUGCGUAAAAAGGACCUCAUCCCCACUGUGAAAGAUGGUGAUUAGUCUUUGAUAUUGUAUGGACAUUUUUCUUCCAAAUGCCCUGGAGAACUUGUUUGGAAACACAUUAUCAUGGACUCCAUCAGGUACCAGCAGAUGCUAAAUGAAAACCUGACUGCCUCAAAAAGGAAGCUUAAAAUUGGUCAUGUUUGGAUCUUUGAGCAAGACGGUGAUCCAAAGGACACCCUUAAAAUCAACACCUUGAUCACAGCAGUCCCUUGACCUAAACCCCUUAGAAAACCUGUGAGAGAAGCUGAAGAGGAGCACGAAACUGAAGGAUCUGGAGAGAUUCUUAAUGGAGGAAUGGUUUUAGUUGCCUUGCCAUGUGUUCUCCAGCCUUAUUAAGCAUUACAGGAGAAGACUGAGUGCUGUUGUCUUUGCAAAAAGAGGCUCCACAAAGAUGAAUAUUUAUUUCAUAAGAAUAUGUAGGUUUUUUCUUUCAGUCGUCGCACUUUGAAUAAAGGUUACAUUUUUGUAAGAAAGAUCAAAAGGAUCUUUACUCAUGUUCACUACAGGUGCCAAUAUUUGUGGAGGGCACUGUACACCAGUUGGUUAGCCUGCUACAGACAAUGCAUACUCACAGUGUUUACACUGGAAUUGAUAGAUAUGUGUACACGAGGAAAGUCAUUUAAAAAUCUGAUCUUAUAGUUGCCACAGUGUUAUGAGGCAGGUGAGUUUAUGACCUUAGGACAUACACACAAAUACACAGAGAUCGUUCUUCCUUGCACAUGUUUUUCUUGAACACUUAAACUUGUAUUUAUUUGAAUGAGAUCCUGUCUUUUUUUCACUGAAAUGAAACUGUAGGAAAACAGCAAUGUGACAGCAAUGGCAAUACUAACAGGCUAGCCUGAUAACCGGUGCUUUGGUUCACUUGUGUAAAAAGAAACAUCAAAAAUAUCAACAAAAUUGUGUUUAUACUUUGGUUUAGUCCUCUUCAAUAGCAUCUUUACUGAAGCUCCAGUUGUUUGAAACUCAAUUAUAUCACUAAUAGUGGGUAUUUGUGAUACAGUUGUCAAGCUAUUUUAUAGCUUUUGCAUAAUUUUCAGUUAAUGAGUGUCAGCAAUGUUUUAUCUCAUUUCAUUUUUGUGUUCUGUGAGCUUUCCUGUGGUGAUGGAUGACUGAAGGUGCAUGGCUUGUGUGUCACCUGUGUACUUUAGUAAAUCAGGGAGGGUAAGUUUACCAUUGAAGAGUUUCUAAAGAGUCCAGGUGUUAAAUAUUAUAAAGUUAAAUAUCAAGGGAAAUGUAUAUUAUACAUUUUUAUAAUUGACACAUUAACAUUUUUUGUUUGUUUGUUUUUUGAAUAACCUCACUGAAUGGUAAGAUUUGUAAUAUAUUUUCAGUGUAAGAUCAAGCAUUAAAAAUCAGUGACAUUUUUUUUUUAAAUGUUUUUUUUAAAGAAAUGUGUUCAUUCUCUUUUAAAAAUUCAAACUUUUCAAAAUAUUGGUCAAAAGAGAGUUAAUAACUAUGAAAAAUGUAAUUAAAAUUAACAUUAACAAAAUGAACAAGUCCCAUUAGACUAAAG